GGUAGCUAUGUUUGGAAGGGAUAAACGCUGAAAGCAUCUAAGCGUGAAGCCCACCCUGAGAUGAGAUUUCCCAUAACUCGUGCGUAAGCACGGUGUUAGUAAGACUCCUGGAAGAACACCAGGUUGAUAGGUUAGAGGUGUAAGCAUGGUAACAUGUUCAGCUGACUAAUACUAAUAAGUCGAGGGCUUGACCUUAAU
rnacentral:rRNA from 1 species